AUUGAACGCUGGCGGUAUGCUUAACACAUGCAAGUCGAACGGUAGCACGGUCUAGCUUGCUAGAUGGGUGACGAGUGGCGAACGGGUGAGUAACGCGUAGGAAUAUGCCUUGAAGAGGGGGACAACUUGGGGAAACUCAAGCUAAUACCGCAUAAUAUCUUCGGAUGAAAGUUGGGGACCUUCGGGCCUGACGCUUUAAGAUUAGCCUGCGUACGAUUAGCUAGUUGGUAGGGUAAAGGCCUACCAAGGCGACGAUCGUUAGCUGGUCUGAGAGGAGGACCAGCCACACUGGAACUGAGACACGGUCCAGACUCCUACGUGAGGCAGCAGUGGGGAAUAUUGGACAAUGGGGGCAACCCUGAUCCAGCAAUACCGCGUGUGUGAAGAAGGCCUGAGGGUUGUAAAGCACUUUCAGUGGGGAGGAGGAUUGAUUGGUUAAGAGCUGAUUGAUUGGACGUUACCCACAGAAGAAGCACCGGCUAACUCCGUGCCAGCCGCCGCAGUAA
rnacentral:rRNA from 1 species